rnacentral:rRNA from 1 species
GUAGGGCGGGACACGUGGUAUCCUGUCUGAAUAUGGGGGGACCAUCCUCCAAGGCUAAAUACUCCUGACUGACCGAUAGUGAACCAGUACCGUGAGGGAAAGGCGAAAAGAACCCCGGCGAGGGGAGUGAAAAAGAACCUGAAACCGUGUACGUACAAGCAGUGGGAGCACGCUUAGGCGUGUGACUGCGUACCUUUUGUAUAAUGGGUCAGCGACUUAUAUUCUGUAGCAAGGUUAACCGAAUAGGGGAGCCGAAGGGAAACCGAGUCUUAACUGGGCGUUAAGUUGCAGGGUAUAGACCCGAAACCCGGUGAUCUAGCCAUGGGCAGGUUGAAGGUUGGGUAACACUAACUGGAGGACCGAACCGACUAAUGUUGAAAAAUUAGCGGAUGACUUGUGGCUGGGGGUGAAAGGCCAAUCAAACCGGGAGAUAGCUGGUUCUCCCCGAAAGCUAUUUAGGUAGCGCCUCGUGAAUUCAUCUCCGGGGGUAGAGCACUGUUUCGGCAAGGGGGUCAUCCCGACUUACCAACCCGAUGCAAACUGCGAAUACCGGAGAAUGUUAUCACGGGAGACACACGGCGGGUGCUAACGUCCGUCGUGAAGAGGGAAACAACCCAGACCGCCAGCUAAGGUCCCAAAGUCAUGGUUAAGUGGGAAACGAUGUGGGAAGGCCCAGACAGCCAGGAUGUUGGCUUAGAAGCAGCCAUCAUUUAAAGAAAGCGUAAUAGCUCACUGGUCGAGUCGGCCUGCGCGGAAGAUGUAACGGGGCUAAACCAUGCACCGAAGCUGCGGCAGCGACGCUGAUGCGUUGUUGGGUAGGGGAGCGUUCUGUAAGCCUGUGAAGGUGUGCUGUGAGGCAUGCUGGAGGUAUCAGAAGUGCGAAUGCUGACAUAAGUAACGAUAAAGCGGGUGAAAAGCCCGCUCGCCGGAAGACCAAGGGUUCCUGUCCAACGUUAAUCGGGGCAGGGUGAGUCGACCCCUAAGGCGAGGCCGAAAGGCGUAGUCGAUGGGAAACAGGUUAAUAUUCCUGUACUUGGUGUUACUGCGAAGGGGGGACGGAGAAGGCUAUGUUGGCCGGGCGACGGUUGUCCCGGUUUAAGCGUGUAGGCUGGUUUUCCAGGCAAAUCCGGAAAAUCAAGGCUGAGGCGUGAUGACGAGGCACUACGGUGCUGAAGCAACAAAUGCCCUGCUUCCAGGAAAAGCCUCUAAGCAUCAGGUAACAUCAAAUCGUACCCCAAACCGACACAGGUGGUCAGGUAGAGAAUACCAAGGCGCUUGAGAGAACUCGGGUGAAGGAACUAGGCAAAAUGGUGCCGUAACUUCGGGAGAAGG